rnacentral:rRNA from 1 species
GUGGAGCGAAUCCCAAAAAACCGGUCUCAGUUCGGAUUGGGGUCUGCAACUCGACCCCAUGAAGUCGGAGUCGCUAGUAAUCGCAGAUCAGCAACGCUGCGGUGAAUACGUUCCCGGGCCUUGUACACACCGCCCGUCAAGUCACGAAAGUCGGUAACACCCGAAGCCGGUGGCCCAACUCUUUGAGAGGGAGCCGUCGAAGGUGGGACUGGCGAUUGGGACUAAGUCGUAACAAGGUAGCCGUACCGGAAGGUGCGGCUGGAUCACCUCCUUUCUAAGGAG